CAUUUAAUCCUAGCCCUUGAGUCAUGUAUUGAGUAGUGUGCAUAGUAAUUGUCAUGGAUUUUCAAAGAUUUAAAUUAUAAAUUUGAACCGAUUGUUGUGAUGUUUUUGGGAACAGAUGAUAUUAUAUCAUACUUAUUUCUAAUAUGAAUAACAUUGCUAACAAAUUGUGCUGCUGACCCACAACACAUCCAGAAUGAAGAAUAAGUUAAAAGAAUGUUACUUUUCUUGACCUACUGUCGUGAUGGUGGCGGAUUGCUGGAGACAUGGACGCAUGUUAAGUUACUUGCUUACCAAGGGUUUUGUCGAAUGGGACUGGACAUAAGAACUACUUUGUUGAAGUGUUGAUGAGUGUGACAACAUGUGGGAUUGCACACUCCUUUUGUAAGACGUGGAUGAGAACCAUUUUUUUUACCAUUGUUUGCUUUUAGGAACCAUUUUUUUUUUUUUUUACCAUUGUUUGCUUUUAGGAUGAGUGUUGAUGAGUGUGUCAACAUAAGAACCAUUUUUUUUACCAUUGUUUGCUUUUAGGAAGCAUGAGAUGAGAUGUAGUUUGAGGGCAUUAUCUUAUGGACAAGUAUUUUUAAAUUAGAUUGUUUUGGUUUAUAUAUUAUUGUUAAAGGUAUUUGUCCUACCUAUUUUGGUUUAAUCUUUUGUUC